UUAAAUUGAAGAGUUUGAUCAUGGCUCAGAUUGAACGCUGGCGGCAGGCCUAACACAUGCAAGUCGAGCGGUAACAUUUCUAGCUUGCUAGAAGAUGACGAGCG
rnacentral:rRNA from 1 species